GACAAUGGGCGCAAGCCUGAUCCAGCCAUGMCGCGUGAGUGAAGAAGGCCUUCGGGUUGUAAAGCUCUUUCAGCUGGAAAGAAAUCGUAUCUAUUAAUACUAGGUGCGGAUGACGGUACCAGCAGAAGAAGCACCGGCUAACUACGUGCCAGCAGCCGCGGUAAUACGUAGGGUGCGAGCGUUAAUCGGAAUUACUGGGCGUAAAGCGUGCGCAGGCGGCUUUUUAAGCCAGAUGUGAAAUCCCCGGGCUUAACCUGGGAACUGCAUUUGGAACUGGAAGGCUAGAGUGUAGCAGAGGGGGGUAGAAUUCCACGUGUAGCAGUGAAAUGCGUAGAGAUGUGGAGGAAUACCAAUGGCGAAGGCAGCCCCCUGGGUUAACACUGACGCUCAUGCACGAAAGCGUGGGGAGCAAACAGGAUUAGAUACCCUGGUAGUCCACGCCCUAAACGAUGUCAACUAGGUGWUGGGGAAGGAGACUUCUUUAGUACCGCAGCUAACGCGUGAAGUUGACCGCCUG
rnacentral:rRNA from 1 species